rnacentral:rRNA from 1 species
UACGUAGGGUGCAAGCGUUGUCCGGAAUUAUUGGGCGUAAAGAGCUCGUAGGCGGUCUGUCGCGUCGGCUGUGAAAUCCCGAGGCUCAACCUCGGGUCUGCAGUCGAUACGGGCAAACUAGAGUAUUGCAGGGGAGACUGGAAUUCCUGGUGUAGCGGUGAAAUGCGCAGAUAUCAGGAGGAACACCGGUGGCGAAGGCGAAUCUCUGGGCCACUACUGACACUGAGAAGCGAAAUCAUGGGGAGCAAACAGG